AUUAUGUCUCUAAAUCAUAAGGCUAGUUGAUUGAAAAAUUAACAUAACUAUGGAUGAUAUUAGGCCACCUCUUUUGCAUAUUCUUUUUGUGUGUGGUAUGUUUCAUGAGCAUAAUCUAUUAUACUAUGUCUUUAACAUGCAUUAACACAAAAAUUCUAUUGCCCGACCUGUAACACCCCAAAAUUUGCCCUCCUCAUUCAUGCAUUCAUUUAGCAUUUCAUAUUGCAUUUCAUCAUGUCAAUCAGAAUUAGAUCCAAGAAACUU
rnacentral:lncRNA from 1 species